AGCAGGAAGCCUAACAAGCCUCAUGAGCACCAAGUGUCUCCGUGGAGAGGAGGAAAUAAAAGAGUAAACGUGGGAGAGCAGCACUGCUGUGUGCUGCAGUGGGUGCGGUGAUUAAAGGAGCUCUGUUAGUGCUUGGCUGUCCUGGAGCUCAUCAAAAAGCCUUUGAAGGGAUGGUGCCAGUUCUCCAUCACUGGUUGGGAGUUCUGCAGUGUAAAACUUCAAAAGCAGGUUGAGCACCAGCACAGGGAGCAGAUUGCAGCCUGAUGACAGCUCUGACUCCGCAUAUGCUGCGUCCUACCCAGGGAACCUGGCUACGGAGAGUUACAGAUGGCAGAAACAGAAACUGCGUUCUCCUCUUUGAACUCUGCUGCCUUAAAGCAGCUGUUGAAAUCUGCUGCCUCUGUUCAAUGUCUGAGUGUCCUAAUGAGGAAUAAACAGAAGCAUCGAAGGGAAAAAGGAGAGAAACUCCCUGCCUGCCACAGAUCCGUUGGGGUAAUUGGAGGUUCUGCGGGUACUGGGAGGUAUAAUCUCUCCAGGUCUGUGGCUUCAUUGCCUAGAUGCAGAGAGCAUGGUGUGGAGAGCAGGUGGAGGGAUAGGUAACACUGAGAUGCUGGAGCAGGUGUGGGUGUCUGACACUGAAGAGCCAGAUGCUUUCUUGUGUCUUCUGAUGAUCAACUAUCAGUUCUUGUGACUUUCAGUCUCAGUUUCAAGGUAGGAAUAUUGCCAUUGCAACCACCAGGAUUUUUUUGGUCUUAAAAUGAGCUCUGCUCUUUUUCCCUACUCUCUCCAGAAACAUCUUGAGCAGGAAGCCAAUUUCACACUUAUUCCGUUCUUCUUUUUAAUGUUCAGCUAAUUGGAGCUAUGUGUCUGGAGCUGCCUGGUCCCUGGAGCAUUCCCAUGAUGCUUGUCCCACCGUGGGAGGAGCUCAGCUGGAACCCUGCACACCAUCUGGGAGAAGAAGAAGCCUCAGAGCUGUCAGAAGGUUUAAUGGACUUAAGACAGAUGUUGAACAGGGCUCUGUGUAACAAGGGAGUUCCAGGGAUGCUGAGGUGCUGCAGAAGGUGUAUCUCCUUGCUGGGGAGGUGGAUGUGAUGCUCCUGCUGGGAUGGAGACGAGCAAAUGUUUCCAUCUUCUGUGCUGACAGUGCUGCCAUUACCAGGUGCUGUGUUGUCAAUAGUAUGAAACUGAGCUCUUUGAAGAUCUCUCGGUAACACUUCUUGAAGUGUCUUUCCUAAUUGCUUUCUUGCCUCUGAAGUAGUUGCUUUGUUCAGUUCUUGUCUCAAAUAUUGUAUCAAAGUGUUAUAAAGUGCUUUUAUUUCUAAUGAAUACUAACUAUAGUGCUAUGAAACUUGUCAAAAAAGCACCAUAGGGCAUGAAUCACACUGAAUAUAUUACAUGUGCCUUCGAUACAUUAAUGUAAACCGUUACUGGUUUUUUGCACUACCAGGCUGAUGACAGAUUAAUGAAUGAUAAAAUUAUUCAUACAUAACAUUAACUUAAGAUACAACUGGCUUCUUGGUUUGUCUUUUCUUAGGUACAAGUACUCGAGUUUGCCUGCUUGGCUAUGUUUCAUGUAGCAAAUGCUGCAUUCCAAUCCCUCCAAAGUGACAAAUUCAUGUUGUGUUUCCUUCACUUCUGAAAAAAACCCAAAGCAUAUUACCAGGGUUUGCACUUAAAACAGCUGUUACAUGUCUUUCCAGAGGCGGCUUUGCUUCAGUGGUAGAAAAUGCACUGCCAAGACUCAGACCUUUGAAGACUUUGAGGCUAAAGGAAUUUCAAUACUUUAUUUUGAGAGAGGAAAAGACUUCAGUGCAGGAUAGUGCUCCUAUGAGGAUGUCGUAUUAAAUGAUGUGUGACAUAACACAAAGACAAAGCACAAAAAUGGAAUAAAAAU